UACGGGGGGGGCAAGCGUUGUUCGGAAUUACUGGGCGUAAAGGGCUCGUAGGCGGCCAACUAAGUCAGACGUGAAAUCCCUCGGCUUAACCGGGGAACUGCGUCUGAUACUGGAUGGCUUGAGUUCGGGAGAGGGAUGCGGAAUUCCAGGUGUAGCGGUGAAAUGCGUAGAGAUCUGGAAGAACACCAAAGGCGAAGGCAGCGUCCUGGCAAGCAUCUGACGCUCAUGGGCGAAAGCUAGGGGAGCGAACGGG
rnacentral:rRNA from 1 species